AUCAUGUUCCUCGUACACUGCACCAGCACCACUGCUUCCCUUCCCAGUGAGAACCCGAUCAAGCUUUAUCAUGCAGCCCAGAAGGGUGGGGGAAAGAAAAAGAAUUAGGAGAAAAUGUUGUAAAAGUAAUGAGAUAAUAUGAGAAUGUGCUUUGGGAACUGCGAAUCUGGAGUCACUGGUCCAUGAGGAAUCUAGGAUAAGAAGAAGGAAGCUGUGAAGAAUGGUUGGCUAACAGUGCUGGCAAGGAAUUCAGAUCAACAUACCUCUCAAAAGAAUGGAAGUCUCUUAAACUCAGGAGGUUGAUCAUGUGCAAAAGAAACAAUGACAAGAUAAUGAUCCAAAAUCACCAGCCAUAUCUUUGCUGUGGUAUGUGUGAAACUUGCAUCUACUUAUUACAUAAAAUGCUACACCUGUAACUUCUGAUGGUGUUGUGCUUUUUUCUGUAAUUCAGCAGUCUUUCUUUUACCUCAUUCUGAUAGCCUACUUUCAUUUGUAUUUGGAAUAAAGUCAUAUUAGUUACUGUAGUAUUGCUUUCUUUAUUAUGAUUUUAACAUUUU
rnacentral:lncRNA from 1 species